rnacentral:rRNA from 1 species
AUUGAACGCUGGCGGCAUGCUUUACACAUGCAAGUCGAACGGCAGCACGGGGGCAACCCUGGUGGCGAGUGGCGAACGGGUGAGUAAUGCAUCGGAACGUAUCUUUAAGUGGGGGAUAACGCAUCGAAAGAUGCGCUAAUACCGCAUAAUCUCUGAGGAGAAAAGCAGGGGAUCGCAAGACCUUGCGCUUUUGGAGCGGCCGAUGUCUGAUUAGCUAGNGGUGGGGUAAGGCUUACCAAGGCUUCGAUCAGUAGCUGGUCUGAGAGGACGACCAGCCACACUGGGACUGAGACACGGCCCAGACUCCUACGGGAGGCAGCAGUGGGGAAUUUUGGACAAUGGGGGAAACCCUGAUCCAGCCAUGCCGCGUGAGUGAAGAAGGCCUCGG